GUCUUUUUGAUAAUAAUUUAAAGUCUGGCCUGCCCAAUGAUAAUUUAAAUGGCCGCGGUAUUUUGACCGUGCAAAGGUAGCAUAAUCAUUAGUUUUUUAAUUGAAAGCUUGUAUGAAAGGUUGAACGAGAAAAUUACUGUCUCAAUUUUAUUUAAUAAGAAUUUUAUAUUUAAGUUAAAAAGCUUAAAUAUUUUUAAAAGACGAGAAGACCCUAUAGAGUUUUAUAUAAUUUAUUAUUUUAUUUUAAAUAAUUAUUUUUAAAUAGUUAAUUAUAUUUUGUUGGGGUGAUAAUUAAAUUUAUUAAACUUUAAUUUUUUUUAAACAUUAAUUUAUGAAUAAUUUGAUCCAAUAUUUUUGAUUAUAAGAUUAAAUUACCUUAGGGAUAACAGCGUAAUUUUUUUAGAGAGUUCUUAUCGAAAAAAAAGAUUGCGACCUCGAUGUUGGAUUAAAAUUUAUUUUUGGUGUAGAAGCUAAAAUAUUAAGUCUGUUCGACUUUUAAAAUUUUACAUGAUCUGAGUUUAAACCGGUGUGAGCCAGGUUGGUUUCUAUCUUUAAAUAAUUAAAAUGUUUUAGUACGAAAGGACCAAAUAUUUAUAAUAUUUAUUUAUUUAUUGAAUAU
rnacentral:rRNA from 1 species